GCUUCCGUAGCUCAGUUGGUUAGAGCUUCGUACUAAUACCGGAUCCUCAUCUGAUGUUGGUCAUGCGAAGGUCGCAGGUUCAAGCCCUGCCGGGAGCA
rnacentral:tRNA from 1 species